UAGCAGGAUACUGAAUCAGGAGAGG
rnacentral:piRNA from 1 species